rnacentral:misc_RNA from 1 species
GGGAGGGAUUAAUAAUUAUUUCAAAUAUAAUAUAGAAUGUUAAUUAUUGUUAUAUUUUCUUCCUAUGUGCUUUUAACCGUAUUACUAAAUUUUUGUCAACUCAUAUGAUUCAAUAUUAUGUGUAGAAGAAUAAAUGGCUAGAUAAUUUAAAAAAAAAAAUACAAUGGUCAGUCUAAAAUCCUAAUCUAAACCCUAUUGAGAAUCUAUGGAAUACAUUGAAGAAAGCAGUGUGGAAAAGACAUCCAACAACUCUCGAUGAUGACCUUUGGAGAUUCUGGCAAGAAGAGUGGGCCAAAAUCGAUUCCAGUGUUUGCAUCAAUUUGAUAACAUUAUGGGACAUCAGCACUGCAUGAGAAAAAAUAUCUUAUUAGACUCUUUGAAAAAAGCUUUUUAUAGAUGGGGAAUAUUUAUUUCGCGAUAUCCAUUGUUCGUCAUCUUUAGCGUCCUUAUUAUUGCACUGCUUUCAAGUAUUGGAUUUCUAAGAUUAAGUUUUGAGUAUAAAAUGGAAAAACUCUGGAUACCUCAGAAUUCUGAAUUUAUCUCCAAUAAGAAAUGGAUUGAAGAGAACUUCCCGACAAACUACAGAGUUCAAAUUAUUUCACUGUUGUCUUUGAGCGGAAAUAUUUUAACACCUGAGGCAUUACUUUUGCUAUUGGACAUACAUGAAAAAGUGGAACAGAUUUCUGCGGGACAUAAUACAAGAUGGAAGGAUCUUUGUUUUAAAGUUCCUGUUGCGAAUGUAUUUCUGGAAAGAAACAAAGUCCUCACAAACGAUAAGAAUACAACUUUUGAUCGUGUGGAUGAUCUCUUUAUAUCUGAUGAUAAUGUUGUUCCACAAAAUGAAAAAACCGAAAUAGACUAUGAUGAUGCAUUUUUAGAAUAUGAAAAUGAAAGUAAGAAUGGUUCAAGGUACGAAAAACUAUUGAAAAUACUAAGUCCUAAGGUCUACUGCGACUUUGUAGAAACUCUUAAUGAUCGCUGUUUCGAAAGGUCUCUUUUGGAAAUAUGGAAAUUUGACCGGAGACGAAUAAAAAGGCUUACAAAGGAUCGUAUUGUUCAGGCUAUAAACAGAAUACAAAAUAGCCCUGUAUAUGGGUAUAAAACAAACUAUGAUAACUACAUGGGUUCCAUCAUUCGAAAUGAAACUGGGCAUGUUGUGUCUGCUUCAACUCUAAAUUCCGUAUGGUUUACUCAAGUUAAUCUUGAGAAUGUAAGUGAAGUGAUUGGACUGACUGAUGAAUUUGUGAAUAAGGAAAGUCUUGAAUGGGAGUUGAAGUUUGUCGAUAUUUUUUUGAAUGCAUCAACUGAGAACAUCUCAGCUUUUGGAGUAUCUGCAAGAAGUUUUAACGACAUAACCAAAAAAUCAAUAUUUUUUGAUGGAAUCCGUCUGACUGGAGGUUUUUUCAUCAUGUGUAUUUAUACGGUUAUCAUGUUGGGACGUUUAAAUUGUGUGGAAGUUCGUUUUUUUGCAACGAUUGCCGGACUAUUCUCAAUCUUACUAGGAAUGGUUGUAAGUCUAGGAAUUAUUUCUGCAAUGGGAUUAAAAUAUUCACCUGUUUUUGCAAUGCUCCCAUUUUUAUAUUUGGGAAUUGGGAUUGAUGACAUGUUUAUCAUUGUUCAAUGUUGGUAUAACAUUUUAGAACAGAAUAAAAAAGAAUGUUCAACCGAUCAAAGUAUAAAAACCUUGGAAGAAAUGAUGGCUGAAACUAUGAAAGAUGCAGGAGUAACGAUCACAAUCACUUCGCUAACGGAUAUUUUUGCCUUUGGAAUCGGAGGUAUUACAAUCUUGCCAGGACUACGUCAUUUCAGCAUCACUUGUGCCAUUGGUAUUGCAGCAGUAUUUCUCUGCCAAAUAUCCUGGUUCUCUGCUUGGUUCUAUUUGGACCAAAAACGAAUUUUGAAUAAUAAAAGUGGAUUUUUUCCAUGCUGUAUUCAGUAUGAGGAUACAAGUGAAAGGGAAAAUGGGAAAUGUUUUGAAUUUUCAUUUGGAAAUAAACUAAUUCGCGCUUUCUCAAGGACAAUCAUGCAUAGGACGUUUCAGGUCAUCGUGAUUAUAAUAUCACUCAUUUUGUUCUCAUUCGGCGUUUGGGGAGCCUUCUCUAUUCGUCAAGAAUUUGAUAUUAAGAAAUUUAUGCCUUCAUCCAGCUAUUUCGUGCAAUGGUUUGAAAUCAAAGAGAAGCACAGUGUCUCCAAGGGAUGGCAAAGCAAUAUCUAUUUAGGGAGGAUUGACCCUCCUUUAGACAUUCCAAAAUUGAACAGUGUCGAUGAAUUCCUUCAGGAUCUUUUGGACUCAAAGGACUAUAUUAUAACUAAAGAAGUUUGGUGGACAGAUUUUAAACUCUACAUUCUACGAGACAAAAAUGUGAGUCAUUGGAGAUCAACUCUUUUCAAGAAUGAUUCUUUUUUAUUUCGAGUGCACCUAUCCGAUUUUUUAUACUCAAGCAUUGGUGCACAGUAUAAAGUCAAUUUUAGAUUUGAUACUCCGCUUAGAUGUAACCAACCUGCACCUAAUAUUAAUGCCAUGGAACUAAGCAUUGACUUUAAGAAGUUUUCUAGUCUCCAAGAUCAUGUCAAAGCUCGGAAAACAAUUGAUAACGCAAUUAAGGCAGCUAAUUUUUCAACUGUUUCCUUUUCUCAUUCAAAGGAGAUGCUGCUGAAAGAGCUGCAUCAAGUGUGGAAUCAAUUGGAAUUGCAAUUAUAAAUGGUGGCACAACAACAUUCAUGGCACUCAUUCUCCUCAUUUUCUCAGAGUCUCAUAUUUUCAUUACUUUUUUCAAGGUCUUUUUUUUAACUGUUGUAUUUGGACUCUUCCAUGGAAUGGUUCUCUUGCCAAUAAUACUUAGUCUUCUGGGAUGCUGCUCUAAAAUAGUAAUGAGGGAAAAUUUGGAAAGUCUGGAAC